GAUGAACGCUGGCGGCGGGCUUAACACAUGCAAGUCGAACGGAAAGGCUCUGCUGUCGGGGGGUGCUCGAGUGGCGAACAGGUGAGUAACACGCGAGUAAUCUGCCCUUGAUAUUGGGAUAACUUCUGGAAACUUGGGCUAAUACCGGAUAGGAUCUCCUGCUGCAUUGUGGGGGUCGGAGAGUUUCGGCGGUUGGGGAUGGGCUUGCUGCUUAUCAGCUUGUUGGUGGGGUAGUGGCUGACCAAGGCUUUGACGGGUAGCCGGCCUGAGAGGGUGACCGGCCACAUUAGGACUGAGAUACGGCCCAGACUCCUACGGGAGGCAGCAGUAGGGAAUAUUGCCCGAUGGGCGGAAGCCUGAUGCAGCAACGCCGCGUGCGGGAUGACGGCCUUCGGGUUGUAAACCGCUUUCGCCUGUAACGAAGCGUGAGUGACGGUAAUGGGUAAAGAAGCACCGGCUAACUACGUG
rnacentral:rRNA from 1 species